CCUACGGGAGGCAGCAGUAGGGAAUAUUGGACAAUGGGGGGAACCCUGAUCCAGCCAUGCCGCGUGUGUGAAGAAGGCCCUCGGGUUGUAAAGCACUUUCAGUGAGGAAGAACGCCUGGUGGUUAAUACCCAUCAGGAAAGACAUCACUCACAGAAGAAGCACCGGCUAACUCCGUGCCAGCAGCCGCGGUAAUACGGAGGGUGCGAGCGUUAAUCGGAAUUACUGGGCGUAAAGCGCGCGUAGGUGGCUUGAUAAGCCGGUUGUGAAAGCCCCGGGCUCAACCUGGGAACGGCAUCCGGAACUGUCAAGCUAGAGUGCAGGAGAGGAAGGUAGAAUUCCCGGUGUAGCGGUGAAAUGCGUAGAGAUCGGGAGGAAUACCAGUGGCGAAGGCGGCCUUCUGGACUGACACUGACACUGAGGUGCGAAAGCGUGGGUAGCAAACAGGAUUAGAUACCCCUGUAGUC
rnacentral:rRNA from 1 species